CCGGGAAUGCUGAGGUAUCAAUGGGAAGAUGCGGUUAGAUUCUGGAAUUCAAAGAAAGGAGAGGUAUUGUGUAUUUCCAAACUCUUAUAUAUAGUGUUUACUAUAUACGUAAUAAUAAUUUCAUUAUGUAGGACCGUGAGCGAGUUGGAACAAGCAGCAAGCAAAAACAAAAAUUCACGCACACAGCAGGGUCGAGAAGUUUUGCUUCUGUAGCUGAGGCCGAGGAAGUCAAAUCUGGACAAAAAGUUGGACGCCUUCAACUUUUUGAGAUUACGCAUAGGAAGAAAGAUGGAUCUCCUAUGACAUCUGAAGCUGGAGAAAUUAUGGAGAAACUAAAGGAGAAGAAGGCGGAAUAUGAAGCGAUUGCUUCGACUGAUAGUUCUGUUAAUCUUGAGAACAUUGAUAACAGAAUUAUCACUAAAGUUUUGGCUCCUGAAAAGUACGGUCGGGUUCGAUUUCA